UCCUGCAUCCGAAAGUGAUCAUGCACUGCUUGUUCCCUGGUCAUGGAUAGUGCAGGGACAGGAACUGCUAGAAGCCUUCCCCGUGUUUUGGAGGCUCCGAUCCCUUCCAAACCCUGGUGCUUUCAUACA
rnacentral:snoRNA from 1 species